rnacentral:rRNA from 1 species
GUGAGGAAUUUUCCGCAAUGGGCGAAAGCCUGACGGAGCAAUGCCGCGUGAAGGAUGAAGGCCUAUGGGUUGUAAACUUCUUUUCUUAGAGAAGGAUAUUGACGGUAUCUGAGGAAUAAGCAUCGGCUAACUCUGUGCCAGCAGCCGCGGUAAGACAGAGGAUGCAAGCGUUAUCCGGAAUGAUUGGGCGUAAAGCGUCUGUAGGUGGCUUCAAAAGUCUCCUGUCAAAGAUCAGGGCUUAACCCUGGGCCGGCAGGAGAAACUCUGAGGCUAGAGUUUGGUAGGGGCAGAGGGAAUUCCCGGUGGAGCGGUGAAAUGCGUAGAGAUCGGGAGGAACACCAAAGGCGAAAGCACUCUGCUGGGCCACAACUGACACUGAGAGACGAAAGCGAGGGGAGCAAAAGGGAUUAGAUACCCUAGUAGUCC